rnacentral:misc_RNA from 1 species
UCAGCGGGUGAUCUUGACUGAUCUGAGGUGCAGAAUUCGAAUUGGAUGAGGCGAAUGCUUUUGUUCUGGGAUGCUUGGCACCUGAACUAGACACUCUGCUUCUUUCUGCCAUUCAGUGCAGUGAGCCGAUACUGCAUGUGCAGCACCCGCCCCACUCGCACCACAUCACGAUGUUGCCACCGUAUGGAUAAUCACACACUCAGACAGACAUGCCGAUUGCUCGGCGCAAGUUGCGUUCAAAGAUUAGAUGACUCACAGGUUCAUGCAGAUCACAUUACGUAUCGCAUUUUGCUGCGUUCUUCAUCNAUGCAAGAGCCA